AACGUAGGAGACAAACGUUAUCCGGAGCUACUGGGCGUAAAGGGCGUGUAGGCGGUUUGUUAAGUCUGGCGUGAAAGCUCUCGGCUAAACCGGGAGAGGUCGUUGGAUACUGGCAGACUAGAGGACGGUAGAGGCGUGUGGAAUUCCGGGUGUAGUGGUGAAAUGCGUAGAGAUCAGGAGGAACACCAAUGGCGAAGGCAGCUCGCUGGAACGGUACUGACGCUGAGGCGCGAAAGCGUGGGGAGCGAACAGG
rnacentral:rRNA from 1 species